CCCAAAUAUUGGCAUCUUGCGAACGCGCUCGGCUGUGCAGUCCCCUUCUCUGAUCAAUCUGUUGCACAAAAGUUGCUCAGCGGAACACGGUCGGUGGGGAUUUGAACUGGCAAGAUGAGCGACUGUGAAGGCAAAGUUCAUCGCAAAUCGAUCAGGCUGAUCGCUGCCGCUUGUAACGGCAUGGGGAUCGGGAAAGACGGGAUUUUACCCUGGAGUCUGCCGAAGGAAUUUAAAUUCUUUUUGGACACCAUCACCUCUGUUUCCAGUCCAGACAAGAAAAACCUGCUGAUUUGGGGGAAACGGUGCUGGAUAUCCUUCCCAGAGAGUCUGCAUCCCUUGGCAAACUGCAUUCAUGUGGUCUUGAGCAGGACCAUGGGCUGUGUGCCAGACCAUGCUCACUAUCUCUGCCAUGAUUUACCAAGUGUGAUACAGUUAGGAUCCACCCAUCCUCUCAGUGAUAAGAUUGAAACCAUAUGGAUCUUAGGUGGGGCUGAGUUAUAUAAAGAGUCCUUGAAACAUCCAUGGUGUGACUACAUCUACCUCACUCAGGUCAUGGCAGAUUUUGACUGUGACACGUUCUUCCCAGAGUUUGAUCGGGAGAUUUACAAACUGCAGGAUGAGUUUCCUGGUGUGCCAAGUGAAAUUCAAGAGGAUCAAGGUAUCAAGCUCAAAUUUCAGGUUUUCAAGAAGGACAUGCAUUAGAAGAACUGAUUAAAGAGGAAUGAUUUGAGUUUGAACCAAAUUCAAGUGCACAUUAUGGAGUUUUUCAGGACUUGAAUGCAGUAAUUGCUCCCUUCUCACAGAGACAAGGGCCUAAUUAAUCCUCGAAGGGACACUGAAGCCUGCGUGGCUUUUGGAGUCCAACAAGCACGAGUUGGGGCCUCACAUGAGGGUACUGUCCGCCUCCAUGCCCAGCACAAGGAGCCUGUGGUGCGUUUCUCACAUUCAUCUUGUUCAUUUUUUUGUCCUUGUGCAUUACUCUUGCGCUUUGGCAGGUGGAAUAAAUGAACACAGUUUGCUCUUCUCCCAGGAGGGGAGAGGUGGUCAGAGAUCCGGCUGGCUGUGGCCUGGUGUCCCCCAGGGUCUCCUGCGCACCUUAGACUGGGGUUUCUCCAGGGGCCUGCCGAGCAAGGCAUCUCGGAGCUGAACCGAGGCUCUGACCAUCCUUAAAAUAGAUGAUAAAUUGCAGAGCAUAUCCAGAUUUUUUUUUUUUGCUCUUGCUCUUCUGUGAAGUUUCCUUAAAAAUUUAAAUGCCCUGUAAAUCAAGCGGUAGAACACAGAAAGUUCCAGGUGGUCAGCUUGACAUUAUGAUCAUUUCUGGUGUCUUUGAGUGACGUCUCCGAACAGACAGAGGUAAAAGCCUGGGUGAUGUUCCCAUUUGCUCACACAAAAAAUAGAAAAUGGAUGAAGUGAGCAAAUAGAUACCCUGUUCUCUUUCAUUAUAUGUUUAAAUGCAAUUUCAAGGGAAAGCAAAUUCUAAUGCAGUGUAAAGUUUUAAAAAAGACUGCUAUAAUUGGGCACAUUCAUAGAGAACCCAGACAGACUAGUUUAGCACUAGUUUUGUCAGAUUCUGGCAGUUAAAAUUAUUCUGUCUAGUCUAUAACCAUAUACAUGUUUGCCAGGCA